CCCCUCGAGGAGGCUCUAACUUCUCUCUAGAAACUAUAGAGAGAGAAAGGGGUUUCCUAGGAUCAAACCCACCAUACGCACCAAAAAUCAGAUUUUUGUAUCCACCCCACCGAUCAUGUCUUGUGGUAAAAAAUGAUUCUCUCAAGAAUCAACUGAAACCUCUUCAGUCCACCCCGUGGACCGUCUUCCGUAACAGCUUUGAUUGAAGGUAUGGUGGCGUACUGUUCACAGCUAUAUCAGCAUUCACAAAACCAACCAUGGGUCUUAUUCAACCUCACAGGGAUGACCCAGAGCUGCUGGGUUCCAUCUCAAAUUCACGGAGAAGACCCAGAGCUCCUAGCUCGUGGGUCUUUCAUGGAUCUGAAGGACCUUACAGAAAACAGGUCAAAACCCUCCGGCGUUUCUCCGGUGGUUCAGCGGUGACCUUAAGGGUCAAUCCUAGAUGGAUUCUGGAUUUAUAGAGCCGUGGGGAUUGCUGGUGUGGUCCAGCAAUUGAUGGUCAGCGAAUGCAGAUUGAUCCAGAGCCUAUUGCACGUUGGUCUACUUACACGGUUACGGAGUUCUUGGUGCUGUUAAGUUCCGCUCGUCGGAAUGGUGCUGGCCGAACUGAGAUCUGUCUACAAGCAUGGCGAGACCUCCAGAUUUCGAUUGGAAUACUUUAAAUUUGUUCCAUAAUUAGCUAACUUUGGUAUAUUAUUGCCGGAGUAGUGUUACAAUUGGUUAAACUUACGAUUCCAAGAA